CCAAAUUCCUCUCAACCGCUUGUGAUUCUCUCUUUGGCACCGAAUCUUCUUUCUUUGGCUUCAAGGUGGAAUUCGUGUAGGGUGGCCUCGAGGUCCUUACCCAAGUAAUUGAGUCACAAUUCCGUAGGGCAUGGACUAGUUGGGGGAGAUACCAUCAAAGACAGUGGAUCGAAUGUUCAAAAUAUUUGCGAUUCAUUGUAGAGGAAGAUGCUCGAGCUGCACGUGAGGAAUGUUGCAAGGAAAAUAAACGCACACAAGAUUUGGAGAGACAAUUGAGAGAAUUAGCUGAUAGUAUUGCUUCCAUCAAAGGUGACUAACGUCGUCGUCAUCCGGACUAUGAAGAGUAUGACUCCGAUAAUGAUGAUGACUCGGAUAGUGACGAUGAUGCUAUGGGCAGCACAUAAGAUUAUAUUAUGCUUUACUUUUACUUAUGAGGUUACUUUGACAAUCACAUUAUAUUUUGCUUGAACUUGUUUUAUGUUUUGU